UAAUACAUCGGAACGUGUCCCGUAGUGGGGGAUAGCCCGGCGAAAGCCGGAUUAAUACCGCAUACGAUCUACGGAUGAAAGCGGGGGAUCGCAAGACCUCGCGCGAAUGGAGCGGCCGAUGGCAGAUUAGGUAGUUGGUGGGGUAAAGGCUCACCAAGCCUGCGAUCUGUAGCUGGUCUGAGAGGACGACCAGCCACACUGGGACUGAGACACGGCCCAG
rnacentral:rRNA from 1 species